rnacentral:rRNA from 1 species
AACGAACGCUGGCGGCAUGCCUAACACAUGCAAGUCGAACGAGACCUUCGGGUCUAGUGGCGCACGGGUGCGUAACGCGUGGGAACCUGCCCUUAGGUUCGGCAUAACUCCCCGAAAGGGGUGCUAAUACCGGAUAAUGUCUUCGGAUCAAAGAUUUAUCGCCUUUGGAUGGGCCCGCGUUGGAUUAGCUAGUUGGUAGGGUAAAAGCCUACCAAGGCGACGAUCCAUAGCUGGUCUGAGAGGAUGAUCAGCCACACUGGGACUGAGACACGGCCCAGACUCCUACGGGAAGCAGCAGUGGGGAAUAUUGGACAAUGAGCGAAAGCCUGAUCCAGCAAUGCCGCGUGAGUGAUGAAGGCCUUAGGGUUGUAAAGCUCUUUUACCCGGGAUGAUAAUGACAGUACCGGGAGAAUAAGCUCCGGCUAACUCCGUG